UGGUAUUACAGGACACCAUGCCCGGCA
rnacentral:piRNA from 1 species